GACGAACGCUGGCGGCGUGCUUAACACAUGCAAGUCGAACGAUGAAGCCGGAGCUUGCUCCGGUGGAUUAGUGGCGAACGGGUGAGUAACACGUGAGCAAUCUGCCCUUGACUCUGGGAUAACUGCGGGAAACUGUAGCUAAUACCGGAUACGACACCUUGGGGCAUCCCAGGGUGUGGAAAGAAUUUCGGUCAAGGAUGAGCGCGCGGCCUAUCAGCUAGUUGGUGAGGUAAUGGCUCACCAAGGCGACGACGGGUAGCCGGCCUGAGAGGGUGACCGGCCACGAUGGAACGGGGACACGGACCAGACUCCUACGGGAGGCAGCAGUGGGGAAUAUUGCACAAUGGGCGAACGCCUGAUGCAGCGACGCCGCGUGAGGGAUGAAGGCCUUCGGGUUGUAAACCUCUUUUAGCAGGGAAGAAGCGAAAGUGACGGUACCUGCAGAAAAAGCACCGGCUAACUACGUGCCAGCCGCCGCGGUAA
rnacentral:rRNA from 1 species